rnacentral:rRNA from 1 species
GCUAAGCAGGUGGCAGAGGCGGGUGUAAGGCGGUGGGGGGAAGGUGGGUCCGGAGUUAUUGGUGGGAAAGGGGUGGGAUGCGGCCUGAAAGGUCAGCUGUGAAAACUCGAGGCUCAACCGCGAGACGUCGGUGGAAUCCAUCUGGCUAGAGUCCGGAAGAGGAGUGUGGAAUGCCCGGUGUAGCGGUGAAAUGCGCAGAUAUCGGGAAGAACACCCGUGGCGAAGGCGGCACUCUGGGACGGUACUGACGCUGAGACGCGAAAGCGUGGGGAGCGAACAGGAUUAGAUACCCGUUUAGUC